GGGCAUUGGCGGGGGCGCUUCUCUUGGUCGUGGUACGUCCUGUGCUGCUGGAGAGGGGUUUUGUACUGGAAAAGCUCAUUUCAUUUGUCCGAAUGAAAAUAAGCUGCCCAGUAUGGCCAAGCAGACAGCAGUAAGACACUUGCUUUGGUAGAGAAUUCAGUGCUUCAAAGUGGGGGGUUUAUUUCAUUUUAGCAUGGAUGACUUAAUAGUCGUGACAAUGCCAGCGUUACAGCCAACGUUAUCAGACAGAUGUGGAGGAAAAAAAUACACUGAUAUUCCUGUGCUGGCACGCAUCUGUAGCUGGGAAACAGCAGAGGAGCUGCAGUGUACAGCUGUUAGCAGCAAAUUGGGGAAGAACUGCUCUGGUGAAAUUUGGGGUUCAGGUUGAGGAUUCAUCAGUGGCUGUCAUAAUGGCUCAGUGACUCUCCGCCAGGCUGGUGUGGCCUCAAAGGCUGCCCCUGCUGCUGGCAGAGUGUGUGGAGCCUCUGCUGAGCAGGCAGUGGCAUCCCCCCGAACACCUUCUCACAGCAGGGAAGGAGAUGGACCCAGCCCAGCGCGUGGAAAUGGAUCUCUCCAGCUGAACGCUCAGGUGAAGUGAGCAGAGAGCAUGCCCAGCAUGAACCAGGUGACCUGCACAUCUCCAGGGCAGAGCAACACGGGAGCAGCAGGGAGAGGUGGCUUUGUCCUGGAGGUUCCAGGAGCUCGGGGUGGAUAUGCGAGCCUGCAGCUCCAGGCUGCCGCAGGACCCAAGGGCUGCACACACCCAGAGCGUACAGGUUCGCUCGUAUUGUAAUUUGCAAACGGCACGGCAAAUGCCACGAGAGCAGCUGCGGAAGGUGGCUCAGAAGCAAUGACAAGAAUGUGCUGCAAAGUUGGGUCCAGCAGUCCAGCUUCCCGACACGCCAAUUCUGAAGCACUGAGCAGAGCCGAUCUCUGAGAGCUGACACGGGAGCUCUGGUGAGGACAGCUGCUCCCCUGCCUCGGUGUGGGACCUGCUGAGCUGCCGUUCCUGUGGUGGGAGUGUUUCUCCUCUCAUCCAGGCAAGCCAGAGACCUCCUAGGGAAGGGGCAGCAGAGUGCAGCCGCCCAAGAAAGGAUUUUUUGUGGCUCAGCCAGAUGUUCUCCUGCCUCCCGCCAAGACCCUGAGAUGGAGCUGAGUUUGCAUUCCAAUUUAUUGGAACAGAGGCUCAUCAGAAGUUUCCUCAGCUAUCUGAGGCACAGAGCCCUGGAGCCAAGUAAGCCUGAGCUGCUGCAUGCUUGCUGUGAGCCUUGGGGACAGCGUGAAGACUGAAAUUGUAAGAAGAUGUGGAGGGAAACAGAGAAUCUGACGGGAGCAUCGAACGCACAAGUGCACAAAUUUUGCUUGGAUUUAAACUCAGAAGUUGUAAGGAAUUUGGGAAUGAGAAGGGACAUUUCAGAAGGAGAAGAAGUUGUUGUUACAGUCCUGGCAUAAUCUUUUGUUCUAGCUAAUAAAGGAAGUUAGUUUAAAUUAAAAAAAAAGAAAAAAAUGUGGGGUUUUUUUCUUCACUAUUAUAUUCAUUGGUGGUAUAUGGUGUGUUGUUUUAUUUCUUGGUAUUAUUAACUCUGUGUAAAUUGUUUUUGGAGUGAAGCUAACUUUCUGGAUGGGUUGGUUUGUAUUUGAGGUAGGAUUAAUUACAAUAGGUUUCUUUAAUAGAGUUCUGAUAGGUAUUACUUGGGUUUUGGUUUUGUUUGCUGUAUAUAUAAACAUACACAUUUGGUAGGGCCAGCUUGGCUGCUGGAGUUUAGCAAAUGACCUAAAUUGGUUUUUUGUUACAUCCUAUGAUCAGUUUUAGGCAGUGACUUUAUACUGCUUUUAGGAUUUUCUUAUGCAAUGGUGAGAAAAUAGGCAGGUCUGAUACUUGUUUGACUUUUUUUGUACUUAAUGUUUCAUGAAAUUCUGUAAGCCAAGCGAUCUACUGGUUAAACUAUACCAUCAACUCUUCCUCAUUCCUUUGGGCCUAGAUUCCCCAUUUCCCAUGUCUCUCUGUCUACUUGUUAUCAUACCCAGCUAGGCCUCCUGUGAACUGGUCUUGCCAGAAGGGCUUGCUGAGUUUUCCACUGUGUGGAAAAGAGAUCCCAUUUGGAGCCUGAAGCCUCGUGUUUCCUGUAGGAUUUCCACUCCUAGAAUUGCACACUUUGAAGGAUUUCUUAUAGCAGAAGUUUUCUGGGAGCUAGGACUCUGGCUGGAUUAGGGUCUCUGGACUCUCAGGUGAAGUGACCUUGAGACACUAGGGCAUGCAGAUUUCCUUGCUGUUGAAAAGAGCUAUUGUUGGCACCCAGGAGCCAUGGUCUGAAUGGGGGUGUCACCUCUUAAAUUUGCAAAUGUAACAGGAUUUCUUCUAAAUGAAUGGUGCUAAGAACAUAAGGUCUGGCUGGCUUUCGACUUAGAGGCGCCUCCUCUAAAUUGGUCUUCAGAUGCUAGGUUGGAAAGUGUUCCUACAUAUGCCAAAUAGCCCUUGUUAUGCAGUUAAUAAGCUUCAAAGUACACAUGGAGUUGCUGCCCCUGCAAAGAUUUUGGCAGAGCCUGGUUGUGGUGCCCCAUUCCACUCCACCCCCCUUAGCAGGUCCUUAUGGUUGUAUGGGGAAUCGUUGUGGAGCAUGCCAACCCAGCUCCAUCCUGGGAACAGCACCUGUAUUUUACCCUAAAAUUUCUGUCCCAUUAUAGCUCCUGUUAGGAUACAAAUGUAACUCGGUUUCCACUGAUUUUACCCCCAGUCAUCUUUCCAUACAAACAUUGCUCUGCUCUCCAGAGGAUUAUUGUGAGCAGAUGUGAGCUCUGCUGUCCCUUUGGACUGACAAAGGCAGAGGUUUUGUCCCAAGUUCCUUUUGAACCUGUCUUGCACCUGUUACGAGUCCUCAGUCUCCUGCAAUUUUGUGGGUCAGUGACAUGUAAAACAGCACAGCUGGCUGGCAUGCUUUGCUUAUGAGGGGAGACAAGAGAAGAAUCCCUCUGCUCACACCAGACCUGCAGCUGCCAAACCUCACCAAAGCACCUGAGGAGCCCCCAGGGACUGAUGGUACAGAAGGGAGGUGAUGGAGGACAGCACAGCAGGCAGCCUGCCCUCCAUCUGGGUGUGAAGAAGGCAGGGCUGGGAACUAAGCAACAUCCCAGCAGGUCUGGCUGAUGGUGCCACCCUGAGGGCUUCCCCUGCCUUUGGGCAGUCCCAGCUGCUGCAGCUCACUUGACAGAGACUCAUUGUCUAUACUGUGCUUGGCUGCACUGGAGAUGAUGAAGCCGAGGACAGCAAUGGUUGCCUUCACAUCCCCUGACUGCAGAUGGGAAGGAGGGCGAGCUCUGUCACCUUGGGAAGGCGUCUGCAGAGUCACUGCUGCCUGUCUCUGGAGCGUGGCUCCAUUGGGGGAUCGUGGUAAGGACAGCAGUGCUCACUUAACUGUGCACCUGAGGACAGCUUCAGGACCUUGUCAUACUGUGGGAGAGCAGAGCUUCACAGUAAACACCAGCUAACACACUGACUGCCAGUGUUAACACUAACAGUUCUUACCUAAAUAUUAAUACUAGUAACACUUACUAUGCGUAUUAUUAAUCCUAUUAGAGGCUGGUAGAGUUCUUAAGGCUGAGGCUUGCAUGAAGAACACAAAAUUAACGUUGCUGAUUAUGCUAUUGUGUUGAAAUACUUGGCCUCCACUGCAGUAGCCCCACACUAACCUCGAUGGCCUGCCCCAGCAGGUCCCAAAACACCUGGAUGCAGAUCAGCUUAAGCUUCACUGAUGUGAUAAACAGAGUUCAUUCUUUAAAAUUUUUAAAAGUUUAUUAAAGGAUAAAAGGACAAAAUAA